CAGCCGCCGCGGUAAAACGAGGGGGGCAAGCGUUGUUCGGAUUUAUUGGGCGUAAAGGGUGCGUAGGCGGCCCCGCAAGUCUCAUGUGAAAUCUUCAGGCUCAACUUGAAGUCUGCAUGGGAAACUGCGGGGCUGGAGUAUGGGAGAGGUGAGUGAAUUCCACGUGUAGCAGUGAAAUGCGUAGAGAUGUGGAGGAAUACCGAUGGCGAAGGCAGCCCCCUGGGCCAAUACUGACGCUCAUGCACGAAAGCGUGGGGAGCAAACAGGAUUAGAUACCCCCGUAGUCCCUGUCUCUUAUACA
rnacentral:rRNA from 1 species